rnacentral:sRNA from 1 species
CAGUGAAGCGGAGGCAGAGCGGCUCCGCGAGCUCCUCUCCACUUUCCCAUAGAGAAACCCUGACUGGCCGCUGAGGGCUAGCUACACACACGCCCUCACGCCCGGCGAGCCCGCGAGGUCACUAUCAUAUGACAAAGGCUUUGCUGCAGUUCAUCUUCCUCCCUGUGUACUUUCCAUUUGCCUUCCUGGAAUCCUGCUGCAUCACAGAAGCUGGAAGUUCUGAUGUUCCACUGAAAUCACAAUGGAAAGUCUUGACUUGACUGGUAUCCUCUGGCACAUGCAGGCCUGAUGUUUCAGAAUCUCCUGAAUUACGUCAGAAGUCACCAUUGUUUCAGUUUGCCGAGAUAUCUUCAAGUACGUCCCACCCUGAUGCUUCUACAAAGCAAUGUCAAACAUCCGCCUUGUUUCAGUUUGCAGAGAUUUCUUCAAACACUUCGCAGUUGGGUGGUGCUGAGCCUGUAAAACGCUGUGGAAAGUCUGCACUCUUUCAACUGGCAGAGAUGUGCCUGGCAUCAGAAGGGAUGAAAAUGGAAGAAUCAAAGCUAAUAAAAGCAA